rnacentral:lncRNA from 1 species
GGAAAUGGGGAGAAAACGGGGGGAAAUGGGAAAAACCGGGAAAAAACGGGGAAAAAAUGUGAAUUUGGGGGGAAAAAUGGGGGGAAACGGGAAAAACGGGGAAAAAAUGGGGGGAAAAUGGGGAAAAAACAGGGAAAAAAUGGGAAUUUGGGGGGAAAAAUGGGGGAAAACGGGGAAAAAAUAGGAAUUUGGGGGAGGGGCGGCCUCGUCGUGCUCUUCGUCGACAGGUACGGGGGGGAAACGGGGGAAAACGGGGAAAAACGGGGAAAAAAUGGGGAAAAAAUGGGAAUUCGGGGGAAAAAAUGGGGAAAAAAAUGGGAAAAAAAGGGGGAAAAUGGGGGGAAAAUGGGAAAAACGGGAAAAAUGGGAAAAAUGGGGAAAAACAGGGGGAAAACGGGAAAAAUCUGGGAAUUCUGGUGGGAAAUGCGAGUUUUUCAGGGGGGUUUUGGGGUGGUUUUGGGGUUUUUUGGGUGAUUUUUUGUGGUUUCUGGGGUGGUUUGGGGGUUUUUUUUGUACUUUUUGGGGUUUAUUUUGUACUUUUGGGGGUUUUUUGGGUGCUUUUUAGGGGUUUUGGAGUGGUUUGGGGUUUUUUUUGUACUUUUUGGGGUUUUUUUUGUACUUUUUGUGUUUUUUUGGGUGCUUUUCGUGGUUUUUCGGGUGGUUCUGGGGUUUUUUUUUGUACUUUUUGGGGUUUUUUUGGUGCUUUUUGGGGUUUUUUGGGUGCUUUUCGUGGUUUUUCGGGUGGUUCUGGGGGUUUUUUUUGUACUUUUUGGGGGUUUUUUGGUGCUUUUUGGGGUUUUUGGGGCGGUUCUGGGUUUUUUUUGUAUUUUUGGGGGUUUUCUGGGUGCUUUUUUGGCGUUUUUGGGGUAGUUUGGGGGUGUUUUUUGUUCUUUUGUGGUUUUCCGGGUGCUUUUUUGUGGUUUUUGGGGCAGUUUGGGGGUUUUUUUUGUACUUUAUGGUUUUUUUGGGUGGUUCUGGGGUUUUUUUUUGUACUUUUUGGGGUUUUUUUGUACUUUUUGGGUUUUUUUGCGUGCUUUUUUGGCGUUUUUGGGGUAGUUUGGGGGUGUUUUUUGUACUUUUUGUGGUUUUUGGGGCGGUUCUGGGGGUUUCCUUGUACUUUCUGGGGUUUUUUGGGUGCUUUUUGGGGUUUUUUUUGUGCUUUUUGUGGUUUUUGGGUGCUUUUUUGGGGUUUUUGGGGCGGUUCUGGGGGGUUUUUUGUACUUUUUGGGGGUUUUUUGUACUUUAUGGGGUUUUUUGGGUGCUUUUUGGGGUUUUUUGGGUGCUUUUUGUGGUUUUUCGGGUGGUUCUGGGGUUUUUUUUGUACUUUUUGGGGGUUUUUUUGUGCUUUUUGUGGUUUUUGGGUGCUUUUUUGUGGUUUCUGGGGCGGUUCUGGGGUUUUUUUUGUAGUUUUGGGGGGUUUUUUUGUACUUUCUGGGGUUUUUUGGGUGCUUUUUGUGGUUUCUGGGGUAGUUUGGGGGUGUUUUUUGUACUUUUUGUGGUUUUUUGGGUGCUUUUUGGGGUUUUUUGGGUGCUUUUUGUGGUUUUUUGGGUGCUUUUUGGGUUUUUUUUGGUACUUUUUUUGGUUUUUUGGGUGCUUUUUGUGGUUUUUGGGUGCUUUUUGGGGUUUUCCGGGUGCUUUUCCGUGCUUUUCGGGGCCGUUUUUCCCCUUUCCGGCCUCCCCCAGCCCGAUUUUCCCCCCCAGCUAUGACGUGGUGUUCGCGGGGGGCCCCCGGGAGCUGCUGGCCAAGUUCCGGGGGUCCCGGGCCGGGGUCCUGUUCGCGGCCGAGGGUUUCUGCUGGCCCCAGGAGGGGCUGGCCCCGCUCUACCCCCCCGAGCCCCCCGGGGGGAAACGCUUCCUC